rnacentral:rRNA from 1 species
GACGAACGCUGGCGGCGUGCUUAACACAUGCAAGUCGAACGAAGUGGCGAACGGGUGAGUAAUGCGUAAUCAACCUGCCCUUCAGAGGGGGUCAACAGUUGGAAACGACUGCUAAUACGGCAUACUGAUGGAGGGGAUUGCGGCUGAUUGGCUAGUUGGAUGGGUAACGGCCCACCAAGGCGAUGAUCAGUAGCCGGUCUGAGAGGAUGGACGGCCACAUUGGGACUGAGACACGGCCCAGACUCCUACGGGAGGCAGCAGUGGGGAAUCUGCCGCAAUGGACGAAAGUCUGACGGAGCAACGCCGCGUGAGUGAUGACGGCCUUCGGGUUGUAAAGCUCUGUUAAUCGGGACGCGGUACCGGAAUAGAAAGCCACGGCUAACUACGUGCCAGCCGCCGCGGUAAUAC